rnacentral:lncRNA from 1 species
ACAUGCCAGAGAAUCAGGACUAGGAGUCUGGGAAGCAAAGAUGGGAUGAACGCUUAUACUGUAAUAUAUGUGUGCCAAGUCUAGCCAAGUCUAGCUGUCUUUCAGCCAGCAAACAGGACCCAUAUUGUGAUGGUGUUAGCCACAGACGAAGCAGUUUGAAGCUGGAAAAGAGAAUUCUUAUCACUUUCAUCUGAGUAUCUACCCCCAAGCUAUCAAGUGAUGGAUUCAGAAACUUGAGAUUGGAUCACGUGAGCAGGGUACUUACCAGGCCUGUCCCUACCUCUUGCCUUUGCUUGUCUGGGUUUCAGACCUCAGCUGCAGAGAUGACAUGCUAUAGAUAGGCCAGAGGAAAAGGUUUGGUGCAGAAAUCUCAUGUUCUCAGAACCUCUGUACACUCUGUGUGUUAAGGCAAGCUUUCCUAGUCUUGAGCCUGUGCUGGAUUUUAUUUGCUUGGUUUUGUAGUUGUUACAGUGGCGGUGGCAGACGCAGGGGCAGAGGUGGUUGUUUUUCACUAUGUAGCCCUGGCUGGUCUGGAGCUAUGUAGACAGUGCUGGUCUUGAUCUUCCUGCUUCUGCCUCUGGGGCACUAGGAUGAACGCUGUGCCUUACUGUACCUGGCUACCAUGAAGUUUUCACAAGUUACUUGUGAGUUACUAUAAAACUAGCCAUACUCCAUUGAUUCUGAACACUAGGUGACUAUCAACAAGGAGGUGACUUCAGUUUCAUACCUACAUGUGACUAAGGCACUUUGAACUUCAUGGCCGUGCCCAUGAUAUUGGAGAUGAUGAUGACGUUGGUAGGGAAUUCUUGUGAUUCCAGGCCCUCUUCUUAUCGGUCAGACACACACAGCCCUGGAGAAUCAGAGAGCCAUUUCCUGAGGAUCUGUGAUAAUUAUGGGCUUUCCCCAAGGCCUUUGAACCAUUCGGUAUGCAAGGACUCAUGGGCUUCAGUAACUGAGUGUUCAAGCAGUGAGCAGUUUCUUCUCAUGGGUUGAUUUCCUGGAGGCGAUUGCAGAAUAGCAGCUAGCAGGUAAUGCUUUUCAAAAGCGAUAUAUCCACUUCAUUGCAAAGCACAGGGCCAAAAUAACCUGUAACCUAUUCCAUCCAAAUAAAUAAGUCUGCUUUCAAGGUACUGUCUUCUUCAUAAAGAUCCUUUUUGUCGAAACCUAGAGGCAGCAUAUGCUUUUGCCCUUCAAGUGGUAUCACUGAUACUGAAAAUGCUAUAAAAUAACCAUAGUUGUCAUUGAAACUCAACUUUGCCUCUCUCCUCUGCUAGUAACUAGAUCUCCUGGAGGGUUUUUUGUUUUGUUUUGUUUUUUUGUAACAGCUAAUAAUUGUGGUGGAAGUGUUUUCUUCUGCAGAGCCUUUCUCAGAAUCACUCAACUCUAACUUGAUAGGGUCCAAAUAUCCCAAGGAAGAGAAAUGUUCCACUUGAGAAUGUAGAGCUCGUCGGAGGUCAGAGCCCUAACUUUUAGCCCUUUGCAGACAAGGCAAAGACAUUCCGGCAGCUGCGGUAGAUCGUGGCCUCUGAGGGACUCCGCUGCUGUCAGGAUCAAUCUAGACCUUGGCUUGAACAUGGGGUGAUAUGUGCUCAUUAGAUUUCCAAAUGUUAUUCGGCUUGAUUGCAGCUUUUAUACAAAGGAGUUGAGACACGAGGAAGAAAGAUCAUACAACUAUAAAUUGCAAGACAGGUUCUUAUGAAAUCAGUAAAUUAUUCAUUUAGUGCUUUGCCCUUCUUGCUUUCCUGUUGCUAUGACACCUCAAGAUGGAAGCCAGUCUGUCCACUGGUCCAAGAGGGGCUAAACACAGAGGCACCCAGUCCUGGAGGAAGGCAGAUGAUGCCUUCCAUACAACCUUCAGCUGGCCACAUGAUAAAUUGCCUCUUUAUCUGGCAAAUUCCAAGGAGAUCUACUAGAGAGGACAGAAAGAGAUAUCUCGCAGUGGCUAACGUUUCUUGGAAGAGACCCAGCCGUCACAGGGUUUGAGUCAGAAUCUGUUUAAGAACACAUUAUGAAUACAUUGUGUGCGAGUGGCGUGCCUGUCUCCCGGGAGGCUGGAAACACCAUGGGCUUGCAGUUGCUUUGGCGUCCGCGCCACAGUGAACGCCUGACUUCAUUUAUUACUUUGAUGGGCAAAGAAAGCUGCCUGCUGACAGUCACGCCUUUCCCUACUUCUUCCUAGCCUUACCUUUUAAUCCUCCUCCACCCAUUUGUAGUCUUGCUAAAUUAUUAUUUGCAAGAAAUUCGGGUGCUCUGGCCAAGGCUGUCAGUUAGAUCUAAUGGAGUUGGGAGUGAGGGAGGUAGGGGACUUUGUACUGGGAUAGCAGAGCUAACUGUCAAGCCUUGGGUAAGUCCCCCGCCUCUCUAGUGUCCUAGCAGCUUUAUCCAUAGCAUGGGAUACUUGGGCAGCAUGACUUGGGCUGUCCCUUCCCACUGUGACAUCCCAAGAUCUGUACUUAGGGUUUAUAUUAAUACUCACUUCAUGAACGGUGCCAUUACGAGGACCUGAAGAACAUCUGAACGUGCCUGCAUUUGGAAAGUCAGUGCCAGACCCACCCCUAAAUGCACUGGACUAUAUGGGCAUUUUCUCUGAGGAAGAUUAUUAAGAAUUUAGCCACUCACUCUGACAGCUUGAUAGAUGGAGUGGUUUUGCAUGGCGUCCAUUGGAAGAAAUGCCUAAAAGGAAGACAUUUUCUGUCUGGGGCGUGUGGGUGUGUGUGCGCGCAUGCGCCUGUGUGCUCCUGAGUAGUGUUUUCCACUUCACUCAGAUGUUAAAAGUUUCUACAGAAAGAACAUGAACAAUAACUGGAUCCAAUACCAUUUUGUAUUUGAUUCUAUUGAUCAUCACCUGCCCCCUUUAAUUUCUGCUUUGGGUUGUAGUGCAGUGGUGAUAAUAAGUGCUAUUAUGGCCACUGUGAGCAGCUACUGUCAUCCCCAUUUAAUGUGUUAGAGUCUAGCCAGGGGAUGGAAACCAUGCCAGUUACUUACAGAGAGGCAGUUAUGGUCCAGUGUAGAAGAGAAAUGCAGAAUGAAGGUAGUAGGUAGGCUGCUGAGCCAGCUAGAU